AGUGAACGCUGGCGGUAGGCCUAACACAUGCAAGUCGAACGGCAGCACAGUAAGAGCUUGCUCUUACGGGUGGCGAGUGGCGGACGGGUGAGGAAUACAUCGGAAUCUACUUUUUCGUGGGGGAUAACGUAGGGAAACUUACGCUAAUACCGCAUACGACCUACGGGUGAAAGCAGUGGAUCUUCGGACCUUGCGCGAUUGAAUUAGCCGAUGUCGGAUUAGCUAGUUGGCGGGGUAAAGGCCCACCAAGGCGACGAUCCGUAGCUGGUCUGAGAGGAUGAUCAGAAAAACGGGAACGGAGACACGGACAAGAAUCCUACGGGAGGGAGCAGUGGGGAAUAUUGGACAAUGGGGGCAAGCAUGAUCCAGCAAUACCGCGUGGGUGAAGAAGGACUUCGGGUUGUAAAGCCCUUUUGUUGGGAAAGAAAAGCAGCAGGUUAAUACCCAGAUGUUCUGACGGUACCCAAAGAAUAAGCACCGGCUAACUUCGUG
rnacentral:rRNA from 1 species